AUCGGUGGUUUCGACGGCGAGGAAUUCUUAAUCUCAUGUCGCUGCUUCAACGCUGUUACGAAGACAUGUCGCGAGGUGGCGCCUGUGAAUACCCGAAGACAUAAAUUAAGUGUGGCUGUUCUGCGAGAAGCAGUUUACGCCAUGGGUGGUUACCAUCGAAGUGUGGUUCUCAAAACGGCGGAAAGAUAUGACCGCAAGACGAACCAGUGGUCUUCGAUCGCUCCAAUGAACAAAGAGCGAGAUGAUGCAAGUGCGGCUAUGCUCAAUG